AUGGAAUCUGAAGCAGGCUCCAGGCUCUGAGCUGUCAGCACAGAGCCCGACGUCGGGUCUUGACCCACCUACCAUGAGAUCAUGACGUGAGCCAAAGUCAAAUGCUUAACCGACUGAGCCACCCUGCUGCCUCGAGAGAAUUCUUUAUAUGUGACCAGAGAAUAACACAUGAGAGCCUUCAUGUUUGGUGGUAUAAGCUGGAAGGAGAAAUGUUGCCCUCUGCCAUGCUUCUGACAAUCAAAUAGAGAAUUUUGGGAGUGUCAACAUCCACAUUUGAAGCUGUAGAUUAUCCCAGGCAGGUAGCUUAAUUUCUUAAGUAUAAAAGUAAAUUAGACAUAAUCUAUUGCACUACAGGAACUUAAUAAUUUAGUUAAAUGUGUGGAAAAACAGCAUAAAAUGUGGUAAAAAUACAUAUGUUGGGGGAGAGUAAUGUGAUAAGUAGAGCAAAAUAAGUAACAAGUGAAAAAAAAACUGAUACAUGGGUAUUAUGUUUUGGAAGCACUGCUUUGAAUUAUGUUUCAGAAACAUGGCACGGUGGCUGCUGUUAAUGUGCUCCCAAGAUCCUCUAUAUAGGGCAAGAACACCUACACUCAGCUAUUGACUAUUGGCUCAUAAUCUCCCCUUUGCAGGAGCAUUGCCCUCACCUGGAAUGAAACUGCCUCCCAGAGGACUUUACACCACAGCCAGACCCCAUUGCCACACAGACUCGGGGAUACAAAGACCACUCCCUCACUCCUACUGCCUCCUGCUGGAACCCUAGGUCUCCUCAUGAGAGUAUUUCUUUAUCACUUCCAAAAGGGUGACCCAUCUAAGGCUCUGAUUUGUGAAAUCCUGACCUACAAUGGUGCCAAAAUGAUUCUUGAAAGCCGACUGUAAGAAUGGAGUGGUGAAGGUGACUCACUUGUUAGCAAGAUGGCAAUAAAUAUCCCAGUAAGAUCUGGAGGCCAGAAGUCUGAAACUGAGGUCUUGGCAAAAUUAUGCUCUCUCCAAGGACUCUCGAGGAGGAUCCUUCCUUGCCCCUUCCAGAUAGAAUUGGCAAACUGAUUGGAUGGCCCAAGAAAGCCUAUUUUCAAGGGAUUAAGGAGCAUCUCAUGGAGGAAUUUGUCCUAAGGGAUGAAGGAGCCAGGGAUGAAGAUCGUAACUUUAUAACACAAUCGAAGUCCUCAGACAAAGUCCUCAGAAGCAUGUUGGCUGCUAUUAGAGUUCAUGUAAGUUAUUUUGGACCUAUAUCUGAAUCCCGAGGAGGAAAGGGAAUGUAAAUAAAAACUUAAAAAUAG